CGCCAACAUGGUGUUCAGGCGUUACGUGGAGGUUGGCCGGGUGGCCUACAUUUCCUUCGGGCCCCAUGCUGGAAAGCUGGUCGCAAUUGUAGAUGUCAUUGAUCAGAACAGGGCUUUAGUGGAUGGACCCUGUACUCGGGUGAGGAGGCAGGCCAUGCCCUUCAAAUGCAUGCAGCUCACUGACUUCAUCCUCAAGUUCCCACACAGUGCCCGCCAGAAGUAUGUCCGAAAAGCUUGGGAGAAGGCGGAUAUCAAUACGAAAUGGGCAGCCACAAGAUGGGCCAAGAAAAUUGAUGCCAGAGAAAGGAAAGCCAAGAUGACAGACUUUGAUCGUUUCAAGGUCAUGAAGGCAAAGAAAAUGAGGAACAGAAUAAUCAAGACUGAAGUAAAGAAACUUCAAAGAGCUGCUAUCCUGAAAGCUUCUCCUAAGAAAGCAGCUGUGGCCAAAGCUGCCAUUGCGGCUGCAGCUGCUGCUGCUGCUAAAGCUAAAGUCCCAGCCAAGAAGGCCACAGGACCAGGCAAGAAGGCUGCAGGCCAGAAGGCUCCUGCUCAGAAGGCUGCAGGCCAGAAGGUGGCACCUCCUGCUAAAGGUCAGAAGGGUCAGAAGACCCCAGCCCAGAAAGCACCUGCUCCAAAGGCGGCUGGCAAGAAAGCGUGAGGCUACACAGAAUAAUAAAAGUUCUUUUUGACGGUG